AUUUUGAUGAGACUGCUGGAAUUGAUAAUCAAAUACCAUCAAUUAAUUGUUUAAUUAAUAAAUUGAUUAUUGGAAUUAACAUUGAGCUGGAAUGGAACAGGAAUCUGUAUAGCUUAGGUAAUACAAGUGAGAUGUUUUCAAUUGAAGUGUGCAGAAAUACUUAGCAGCCAGAGAUACUUCCUGUAUGUUUUUUAGGGAAUGAUAGACCACAGCCCAAGUUGAUGGAAUUACAUCCUCUCUCUUGCAUGGUGGGGCCCACCCAUGUGAGGAGGAAAUCUGUGGAACUUUUAACUUGGUCUGUGGAUUCAGUGCCCUUUUUUAUCCCCCCACAAAAGCAACUCCUCUCGCAACAUAAAAUAGUUCCUUCCAAUCAAAUUAAGUUCCAGAUAACUAAUAGUACCAAAAAACAUAGAAACUGCUAGUCCUUGAAAUCUUAUCAGUUGAACUCUACAUAAAGUUCCAAGACCAUUAAAAGGAAAAGAGAAGGAAAACACUUGACGACUUCCCAGUUGACUGCAAUUUGUGGGUUUUAUUGAUUCGUUAUUUGUCUAGAUGUAGAUUUCAGUGGUACUGGUUUGUGGUUACAUUUGUGAGCAUCAUCUUAACGCUUUUUCUCUAAUAAUAGGUUACUUUUUAUUUAUCAAAAAAUAAAAAAAUAAAAAAAUUCCCAGUUUGACUGCAGGAUGAGAAUUUUUAUUUACAUCCCCAUGGUUUGAGCGUAUAUUAUAUCACCAGCCCUGUGUUUCUUUUGACUUUCUCUGAGGAUAAAUGUGCAAGGAUAUUCAAGUAUAUAGUCCUGAGGUUUUAAAAAAUGCUAUAGCAUGAAUUACUGUAUCAUGAGAAAGUAAAGAGCUUCAUCAAGCAUGUACUUGGCAAAUUUGAAUUUAUUUGCGUGUUGUUUCACGAUGAGGAGGGGUGAGUGUCAGUGCGUGCUUGUGUGUGUGUGUAUGUGUGAGAGAGAGAGAGGUGGUAACAUUUGGUCCCUGAUAGUAGUGAAAUGAAAAUCAAUUAUGUCCUAUCCAUUUGGAUAGAGUGAAAAUACCAUUCUUUUGGUUUUUGUUCCCGUCCUCAUUUCCCCUUUCAUUAAAUCAAAUGUCUCCCUAUGUGAACAUAAGAUGUUAAGAGGUUAUGUCAAUCCAUUGAUGGAGGCGAGGCCCCAAAACUUUGUCACAUCAGAAUUUCAUAUUUUCUGAACAAAAGUUAUUAUGAGCCGUGAUAUUUUUAACCAGGACCUAUUUACUUGGUCAACGUUGGUCAUCUUCGGCCUUUUUUGUUGGACUUAAAUUCCAACGUUUCUGACGGACAGUGAUGAGGUUUUAACAUAGUUUAUCAUCUUUUCCAGUUUAUCUAGCAUUGUUUAAUCAUGGACUUGAGAAUCGUGAUGAACUGAUGCAUGGUUUUUGUCUUGACAAGUUUGAUUUCAUUUCCGUGAUUGUGGCAGUUAUAACCUAUCUGCACUAUUAUUUGCUUCUGAAGAAUCGGUUCUUGAUUUUUCAGGUCCCACUCAACAAUAUGUUUGGGUACUCGACAGCUCUUCGUUCGAUGACACAGGGUAAAGGCGAGUUCACGAUGGAAUACAAAGAGCAUGCGCCGGUUUCUCAGGAGGUGCAGAUGCAACUAGUGAACACAUACAAGGCAGCCAAGGCAGCUGAAUAGCUGUGGUUUUGUUUGAAGGCCACACUUGCAAGGUAAUCUAGGUCAUGCCUUAUACACUUUGAUAGAGAGUCGCAUGUAUUUUUUAUUUUUAUUAUUAUUUUUAUUUAUGGUUCUAGAUAUCCUGGUAUUUGUGAGGCCAAAAUUUUGGUCAAUAAUUUUGAGGAGCCCAAAUAAUGUAGUUCAACAUUUAUUUGGUUAUAGUGUGAGGCAACUGUACUUUCUGAUGUAUCACAUAUUCAAAGUAUUCAUAAUUUUUGUUGUUGCACAUAAUACAUAUGGCUAUAAAUUUUCGGGUAAAAGUUUUCUUUUACUCCCUUGUGAUUUU